UCCCGAAGCCGCGCCCGAUUCACGCAUUGCGAGGCUCGGCUAUUCCAUCAUGCUAUCUUCACCAUCUUCACGCUAUCUCACCAUCACCAUCACCUUCAUUCACCGUCGCCGUGCCGCCUCUCGCACCUGCCUGUCUCCUUUGACGCGUCUACGACAGUGGUUCGCAGUUUUUUCCGCGCAGCCAGCGUUCCCUUUCCACGCGUUUUCGCGUCAACCCUUUUGAAUAAAACAUCCUGUUGGAGAGGAGGCCCCUUACGCUCCAUCCCCGCAGUCUUAUUUCCCCGUAAAACAACUUUCAGAUCAACUCGUUACGGAGGAACGAGAGUCCCCUCGACUCCAAGCGCGAUUUCCCACGAUGCGAUAAUCGCGUGUGCGAUAUUUUAGCAAUUUUUGCUAGAGAGAGCUCACACCGACCACUCGGGAGCGCGCAGGACUCGCGCAAAAUCACGCGAGUCAGUUUCCAAACGGAAGGAGUCCGGCCGGAAUUUAAUGCAACAAUUGCGACAAUUGCGAUCGAUGACGGGCGAUCGCGAGCCAACAUGGACGAUUAGCUCGCAAACGAGACACUCGGUCGAGUGACGUGAUCCUGCGACUUUCCUGCGGCAUGUCGCGCGAACAUGCGGCGAUGACGAGCAGCGCGAGCGCAGGAGCGAGCCAAUUUGAGCGUCACUGACGUGCCUCGUAACUCGCGAAGGAUUCCGAAGGGUAAAGCGAGGUUGGAAACGUAGGGGCGAAUAGCUAGACCGUCUUGCAGGACAAAGGCCACUUGGAGCAUGAACCAUGCCAGAAAUAUCGAGCCCACCGUUGGAAGAAGAAUUUUUU